rnacentral:rRNA from 1 species
AUACGUAGGGUGCAAGCGUUAAUCGGAAUUACUGGGCGUAAAGCGUGCGCAGGCGGUUUUGUAAGACAGAGGUGAAAUCCCCGGGCUCAACCUGGGAACUGCCUUUGUGACUGCAAGGCUAGAGUACGGCAGAGGGGGAUGGAAUUCCGCGUGUAGCAGUGAAAUGCGUAGAUAUGCGGAGGAACACCGAUGGCGAAGGCAAUCCCCUGGGCCUGUACUGACGCUCAUGCACGAAAGCGUGGGGAGCAAACAGGAUUAGAUACCCUGGUAGUCCACGUCCUAAACGAUGUCAACUGGUUGUUGGGAUUUAUUUUCUCAGUAACGAAGCUAACGCGUGAAGUUGACCGCCUGGGGAGUACGGCCGCAAGGUUAAUACUCAAAGGAAUUGACGGGG